AGAGUUUGAUCCUGGCUCAGAUUGAACGCUGGCGGCAUGCCUUACACAUGCAAGUCGAACGGCAGCGCGGGGCAACCUGGCGGCGAGUGGCGAACGGGUGAGUAAUAUAUCGGAACAUACCCUAGAGUGGGGGAUAACGUAGCGAAAGUUACGCCAAUACCGCAUACGCACUAAGGUGGAAAGUGGGGGAUCGCAAGACCUCAUGCUCAUGGAGUGGCCGAUAUCUGAUUAGCUAGUUGGUAGGGUAAAAGCCUACCAAGGCGACGAUCAGUAGCUGGUUUGAGAGAACGACCAGCCACACUGGAACUGAGACACGGUCCAGACUCCUACGGGAGGCAGCAGUGGGGAAUUUUGGACAAUGGGGGCAACCCUGAUCCAGCAAUGCCGCGUGAGUGAAGAAGGCCUUCGGGUUGUAAAGCUCUUUUGUCAGGGAAGAAACGGUGUUUCCUAAUACGGAAUGCUAAUGACGGUACCUGAAGAAUAAGCACCGGCUAACUACGUGCCAGCAGCCGCGGUAAUACGUAGGGUGCAAGCGUUAUCCGGAAUCACUGGGCGUAAAGGGUGCGUAGGCGGUUAGACAAGUCAGAAGUGAAAGGCAGUGGCUCAACCACUGUAAGCUUUUGAAACUGUUUAACUUGAAUGCAGGAGAGGCAAGUGGAAUUCCUAGUGUAGCGGUGAAAUGCGUAGAUAUUAGGAGGAACACCAGUGGCGAAGGCGACUUGCUGGACUGUAAUUGACGCUGAGGCACGAAAGCGUGGGGAGCAAACAGGAUUAGAUACCCUGGUAGUCC
rnacentral:rRNA from 1 species